AGAACGAACGCUGGCGGCAUGCCUAAUACAUGCAAGUCGAACGAAGGCUUCGGCCUUAGUGGCGCACGGGUGCGUAACGCGUGGGAAUCUGCCCCUUGGUUCGGAAUAACAGUUGGAAACGACUGCUAAUACCGGAUGAUGACGAAAGUCCAAAGAUUUAUCGCCAAGGGAUGAGCCCGCGUAGGAUUAGCUAGUUGGUGAGGUAAAGGCUCACCAAGGCGACGAUCCUUAGCUGGUCUGAGAGGAUGAUCAGCCACACUGGGACUGAGACACGGCCCAGACUCCUACGGGAGGCAGCAGUAGGGAAUAUUGGGACAAUGGGACGAAAGCCUGGAUCCAGCAAUGCCGCGUGAGUGAUGAGGCCUUAGGUGUAAAGUCUACUUUUACCCGAGAUGAUAAUGACAGUAUCGGAAUAAGUAACGACCCCGCUAACGUCCGUAGCC
rnacentral:rRNA from 1 species